rnacentral:piRNA from 1 species
GAGAGAGCCAUUACACUCUGUCCUUGA